UUGGGAAUUUUGGACAAUGGGGGCAACCCUGAUCCAGCAAUGCCGCGUGAGUGAAGAAGGCCUUCGGGUUGUAAAGCUCUUUCAGCAGGAACGAAACGGUCGGCUUUAAUAAAGUCGGCUAAUGACGGUACCUGCAGAAGAAGCACCGGCUAACUACGUGCCAGCAGCCGCGGUAAUACGUAGGGUGCGAGCGUUAAUCGGAAUUACUGGGCGUAAAGCGUGCGCAGGCGGCGACAUAAGACAGAUGUGAAAUCCCCGGGCUCAACCUGGGAACUGCGUUUGUGACUGUGUUGCUAGAGUGUAGCAGAGGGGGGUGGAAUUCCACGUGUAGCAGUGAAAUGCGUAGAGAUGUGGAGGAACACCGAUGGCGAAGGCAGCCCCCUGGGUUAACACUGACGCUCAUGCACGAAAGCGUGGGGAGCAAACAGGAUUAGAUACCCAAGUAGUCCCUGAGCGGGC
rnacentral:rRNA from 1 species